ACUAACAGGAUUCCCCUAGUAACUGCGAGUGAAGCGGGAAGAGCUCAAAUUUUGAAUCUGGCGGUCUUUCGGCCGUCCGAGUUGUAAUCUAGAGAAGCGUUUUCCGCGCUGGACCGUGUACAAGUCUCCUGGAAGGGAGCGUCGUAGAGGGUGAGAAUCCCGUCUUUGACACGGACUCCCAGUGCUAUGUGAUGCGCUCUCGACGAGUCGAGUUGUUUGGGAAUGCAGCUCAAAAUGGGUGGUAAAUUCCAUCUAAAGCUAAAUACAGGCGAGAGACCGAUAGCGAACAAGUACCGUGAGGGAAAGAUGAAAAGAACUUUGGAAAGAGAGUUAAACAGUACGUGAAAUUGCUGAAAGGGAAACGCUUGAUGUCAGUCGCGUCGUCCGGGGAUCAACCUUGCUUCUCGCUGGGUGUACUUCCCGGUCGACGGGUCAGCAUCAGUUUCGGUCGCCGUACAAGGGCGAGGGGAACGUGGCACCCUCCGGGGUGUGUUAUAGCCUUUCGUCGGAUGCGGUGGUCGGGACUGAGGAACUCAGCACGGCUUUCGGGCGUGUGCUCAGGAUGCUGGCAUAAUGGCCUUAAGCGACCCGUC
rnacentral:rRNA from 1 species